UGGUUGUCGUCAGCUCGUGUCGUGAGAUGUUGGGUUAAGUCCCGCAACGAGCGCAACCCUUGCCGUCAGUUGCCAUCAUUCAGUUGGGCACUCUGGCGGGACUGCCGGUGACAAAUCGGAGGAAGGUGGGGAUGACGUCAAAUCAUCAUGCCCCUUAUGUCCAGGGCUACACACGUACUACAAUGGCCGGUAACAAAGUGCCGCAAAGCCGCGAGGCGGAGCAAAUCACAAAACCCGGUCUCAGUUCAGAUUGCAGGCUGCAACUCGCCUGCAUGAAGGCGGAAUUGCUAGUAAUCGCGAAUCAGAAUGUCGCGGUGAAUACGUUCCCGGGCCUUGUACACACCGCCCGUCACACCAUGAGAGUCGAUAACACCCGAAGCCUGUGAGCUAACCUUAGGGGAGCAGCAGUCGAAGGUGGGGUUGAUGAUUAGGGUGAAGUCGUAACAAGGUAGCCGUAUCGGAAGGUGCGGUUGGAUCACCUC
rnacentral:rRNA from 1 species